AAGUAUUUAAUCUAAAUAAGAAUAUUGAUUUCGACUCAGUAAAUUUUGGUUAAACCCCAAAAAUACUUU
rnacentral:tRNA from 1 species